rnacentral:misc_RNA from 1 species
GAUGAAGAACGUAGCGAAAUGCGAUAAGUAAUGUGAAUUGCAGAAUUCAGUGAAUCAUCGAAUCUUUGAACGCACAUUGCGCCCGCCAGUAUUCUGGUGGGCAUGCCUGUUCGAGCGUCAUUACAACCCUCAGGCCCCCGGGCCUGGCGUUGGGGAUCGGCGGAGCCCCCCGUGGGCACACGCCGUCCCCCAAAUACAGUGGCGGUCCCGCCGCAGCUUCCAUCGCGUAGUAGCUAACACCUCGCGACUGGAGAGCGGCGCGGCCACGCCGUAAAACACCCAACUCUUCUGAAGUUGACCUCGAAUCAGGUAGGAAUACCCGCUGAACUUAAGCAUAUCAAUAAGCGGAGGA